UACGUAGGGGGCAAGCGUUGUCCGGAUUUACUGGGCGUAAAGGGCGCGUAGGCGGCCACCGCAAGUCGAUUGUGAAAUCUCCGGGCUUAACCCGGAAAGGUCAACCGAUACUGCGGGGCUAGAGUGCAGAAGGGGCAACUGGAAUUCUCGGUGUAGCGGUGAAAUGCGUAGAUAUCGAGAGGAACACCUGCGGCGAAGGCGGGUUGCUGGGCUGACACUGACGCUGAAGUGCGAAAGCUAGGGGAGCGAACGGG
rnacentral:rRNA from 1 species